rnacentral:rRNA from 1 species
UAGAGUUUGAUCCAUGGCUCAGAACGAACGCUGGCGGCAGGCCUAACACAUGCAAGUCGAGCGCCCGCAAGGGAGCGGCGGACGGGUGAGUAACGCGUGGGAACGUGCCCUUUGCUUCGGAAUAGCCUCGGGAAACUGAGAGUAAUACCGAAUGUGCCCUACGGGGGAAAGAUUUAUCGGCAAAGGAUCGGCCCGCGUUGGAUUAGGUAGUUGGUGGGGUAACGGCCUACCAAGCCGACGAUCCAUAGCUGGUUUGAGAGGAUGAUCAGCCACACUGGGACUGAGACACGGCCCAGACUCCUACGGGAGGCAGCAGUGGGGAAUCUUAGACAAUGGGCGCAAGCCUGAUCUAGCCAUGCCGCGUGAGCGAUGAAGGCCUUAGGGUUGUAAAGCUCUUUCAGCGAGGAAGAUAAUGACUGUACUCGCA